rnacentral:rRNA from 1 species
CCAAUCGAACCCGGAGAUAGCUGGUUCUCCUCGAAAUAGCUUUAGGGCUAGCCUCAUGGAUCAUUGGUGGGGGUAGAGCACUGAAUGUGCGCGGGGGCCACAAAGCCUACCAAACGCUAUCAAACUACGAAUACCAUACAAUGCAGACCAUGGGAGUCAGUCCGCGAGAGAUAAGUUCCGCGGGCAAAAGGGGAACACCCCAGAUCAACCGCUAAGGUCCCCAAGUUCACGUUAAGUGGAGAAGGAUGUGGAAUUGCACAGACAACCAGGAUGUUGGCUCAGAAGCAGCCACACAUUUAAAGAGUGCGUAAUAGCUCACUGGUCGAGUGAUUGUGCGCCGAAGAUGUCCGGGGCUAAACGUGACACCGAAGCGAUGGGUGCAUCUGAAAGGAUGCGCGGUAGAGGAGCAAUGUGCAGAGGCAGAAGCCGUAUCGAGAGGCACGGUGGACACUGCACAAGAGAGAAUGCCGGUAUGAGUAGCGAGAGGCAUGCGAGAAACAUGCCCGUCGAAAGCCCAAGGUUUCCUGGGGAAGGUUCAUCCGCCCAGGGUAAGUCGGGGCCUAAGCCGAGGACGGAAGUCGUAGGCGAUGGACAGCAGGUGUAGAUUCCUGCACUACCGAUGGAAUGAAGCAGUGACACAGAAGGAUAACUCGAGCAGGGUGAUGGUCAACCCUGUGCAAGCAUCAAGGUUGGGUUGUAGUGAAGUACGCAACCCUAUAAGCUGAGGUGUGAUGCGGACCGAAAUUUUAGUAGGGAAGCGAGUGAGUUCACGCUGGCGAGAAAAGCUGCUAGUACAUCCAAAGGUACCCGUACCGGAAACCGACGCAGGUGGGCGAGGAGAGAAUCCUGAGACGAACGGGAGAACCCUUGUUAAGGAACUCGGCAAAAUGACCCCGUAACUUCGGGAUAAGGGGUGCCUGCGAGAGCAGGCCGCAGAGAAUAGUCACAAGCGACUGUUUAGCAAAAACACAGGUAUCUGCGAAAGCGAGAGCUGACGUAUAGGUGCUGACACCUGCCCGGUGCUGGAAGGUUAAGGGAACAUGUUAGAGCAAUCGAAGCAUCGAACCGAAGCCCCAGUAAACGGCGGCCGUAACUAUAACGGUCCUAAGGUAGCGAAAUUCCUUGUCGGGUAAGUUCCGACCCGCACGAAUGGUGUAACGACUUGUGAGCUGUCUCAACAGGGGGCCCGGUGAAAUUGAAGUAUGGGUGAAGAUGCCCAUUACCCGCGACUGGACGGAGAGACCCCGUAGAGCUUUACUGCAGCCUGAUAUUGAGUUUCGGUAACUGAUGCACAGGAUAGGUGGGAGUCUGAGAGACAUGGGUUUCGGCUCGUGUGGAGACGCUGUUGGGAUACCACUCUUCGGUUACUGAAAUUCUAACAUAGCUCUGUGAAACCAGAGGAUGGACAGUGUCAGGUGGACAGUUUGACUGGGGCGGUCGCCUCCGAAAGAGUAACGGAGGCGCCCAAAGGUACCCUCAGAAUGGAUGGAAACCAUUCGAAGAGCGCAAAGGCAGAAGGGUGCCUGACUGCGAGAUUGACAAAUCGAGCAGAGACGAAAGUCGGGCUUAGUGAUCCGGCGGUAUUGAGUGGAAAAGCCGUCGCUUAACGGAUAAAAGCUACCUCGGGGAUAACAGGCUGAUCUCCCCCAAGAGUCCACAUCGACGGGGAGGUUUGGCACCUCGAUGUCGGCUCGUCGCAUCCUGGGGCUGAAGCAGGUCCCAAGGGUUUGGCUGUUCGCCAAUUAAAGCGGCACGCGAGCUGGGUUCAGAACGUCGUGAGACAGUUCGGUCCCUAUCCAUCGUGGGCGUAGGAGUCAUGAGAGGAGCUGUUCCUAGUACGAGAGGACCGGAAUGGACGCACCACUGGUGCAACUGUUGUCGUGCCAACGGCAUAGCAGGGAAGCGAAGUGCGGAUGGGAUAAACGCUGAAGGCAUCUAAGCGUGAAGCCCACCUCAAGAAUAAGACUCCACAAUAGACCCCUGGAGGACUACCAGGUAGAUAGGUCAUCGGUGGAAGCGCUGUAAGGCGUGCAGCUUGAUGAUACUAAUCGGUCGAAAGCUUCAUUUA